UGCUAUUUUGUCGGCGUCCAGUUGGGGUCCGUAGACCAUGGUGAGCCACCAGGGCGUGUGAGCGCUCGAAGGAUGAGAAACCUUGGCUGUAAUGGCAUUUGCCGUGAAAAGAGGAUCGGUGAUGGACACCUCACGGCUCUUCCACGCAAGCAUGAUACCGUCGCGAGUGCCAAGCGCGGGAAGGUAUACGUAGUCGUCGAAUUCCGAGCCAAGGGUCUCAAGGGCAGUCGACGAGCAAAUCAAAGUCAUCUUCGUUUCCUGGAGGCAGACAAUAGAGACAUUUGCGGUGACAACGAGCGAACGGACGGCGGUGCGGCGAGCGCGCGCGUUGAGGCCGCGCACGUUCCAAAUGAGCAUCUUGGGGUUGUGAUCCAUUGAGGAGGUCGACGACGUGGCGCGCGGCGCGGCUAUGCCUCGAUGGGGCUGCCCGCGACCAUCAUGGUGAUUGGCGCGAUGGUGGGAUCCGCGGGGAGCUCGCGAUCAGCUAGAGCGGCGAUGGCCGACAGGACGGACAGGGAAAUGGUCGCCGCGAAGAGACCCUCAUACGCCUGCAUCUCCGCUGCGGUGAUCCUCUGAUCAAUUCCGACAAUGCCGAGGGUGCGCAGAAUGUGGAUUUGGGCGCGCCUCUCAGCUAUCGGCGGCGCGGUCGUCUUGCGGGCGGUGGACGUGACCGAUCUCCCGCGCCUUGAGGUGAAGUUGGGCGGGGUCCGUCGCUGGCGCCGGCCAGGGAUUGGAAGGGCUGCGUCAAUCUACCUGGUUGCGGCGGCGAGGAAGUCACCCAGGGUCCAGGCCGUAGGCGCCGUGACGCGCGGUCGGGAAUGGCGCAUGGUGAUCAGGGGGGUUGCAAAUCGCGCAGGAGGGCAAGGUGAGCGGGCGGAUCUUGUCUCGUCGCUCGGGAUCCCAUGUUGGGCCUCAUGCUGGGCUUCAGGCUGGGCGUGGCGAUGGGCCUCGGGGCCUUGCUGGGCUGGAGCGGCGUCCAAGGUGGAUGCCGUGCGCUUUGGGAGGUUCCUGGAUGGCCUCGGCUGGCCUCGUGGGAUUGGCCGUUGGGUGUGUCGUGGUGGGCUCCAUCUCCUGCGGUGUCUCCGUGGACCGGUCCGCGAUGGGCGCGGCCUCAGCAGCCAAUGGCAGCGAGGGAGCAGCAAAGCGUCCCAACAGCGGGUCCGGCGUGACCUCCAAAGGCUGGGAGUCGGGGACCUCGCCUGCCAGGGAUUGGCUGGCUGGGUUGCAAUCCUGAUCCCCAUGCGUGUCAGGGUGAUCUAUGCCUGGCAUGACUGUGUCGUGGGUGGGCCCUUGGGGGCAGGCGGGGAUGUCGUGUUGUGCUGGCGAGGGGUGGGUGCCAGCGCUCUCAGACUGGUCGCGAAGGGUGCCAGCCAAAGGGCGGGUGGCGACCGUUGCCAGGUCACGCGGGCCCUCCGCACUUGGGCCACGAGUGGCAGGGCGAGGGGGCAAAGCAGCCGCAGGGGGGGCAGCUUUUGCACGUCGGGCCUCCUCUGCCAUCCUUCUUUUCUUUCCACCACACUUUCCCCAUUUGGCAAAGCCGCGGGAACUGUGGGGGCCACCAGCGGCGGGCCAAGGGUCCAUCGUGCGGCCGGUGGUUUGCCUCGUCGGCGGCGGCGCCGCUGCAACCGUACGGGUACGGGAGCCGGGCCAGCCAGCAUCGACGACAAUGCCAUCGGCGCGGCCACGGAGGUUGGACAAGCGCCAGCCUACGGUGUCGACGGCCAUGCCAUCCGCGCGGCCGUCAGGGGCGUCGGAGGUGCGGCGGCGCUUGCGCCCGCGUCGACGGCCUCGGCCGCCCUCAGUGCGGCGAUCGGCGCCUCUGCCGCCAGCGCCUGGUGCACCGCCCCCCGGGCCUCGAUCUCCGUUGGCGGCCGGAGCAGGCUGCCCGGCCGCGACAGCGACCGUGAUAGACACCGGGUACUGGAGGGUGCGGAUGGUCGGCGGUGAGGGGCGGAUGCGAGCUGGGAUGGAUUCCAUGAUCUCGAGGAUGGCCGCCCGGCGGAUGCUAGCUGGGUCGCGGGUGCGCGCGGUCACCCGGAAGGUGGCGAGGUCAGCGUGGGAGCGCGUGCUCGGGUGGAGCCGCUCUACCCAGUAGCUGCCGCCCAGAAGGUGCUCGGCCGUGGACAGGUGCCAGGCCUGUGCCGGGAUGCCGCGAAGCUCCAGCUGCAUGGAGUGCUCGAGCGAACCAACAUCGGCGCGGGCGAGCUUGCUCCAGGGGCGCAGCGCGAGGGAGAACCCGGGUCCGCUGAUGAAGUGGUCGCCGGCAAGGCGGUCCAUGAGCUCGCGGGUGGUUAAGAUAAGGAGGAAAUCCUCCGGGUGGUAGGCGUGGACGGUGAAGUCUCCGGGGUGGAGGUCGAGGGAGGAGUACAGGACGUCCUCAACGUCACGGGCAGCCACGGCCGGCCUAUCACCGGUGAUGGACACCACCAUGCCCCGACGCAGCACCAACUCUGCCUCUUCCAUCUCAACAGAGCGUGAGAGAAUGACGCGUGCAGGGGCCUGGUCUGCAGGCAGGGGGGUCGGAGCCGGUGGUGACGGAGUGCGGUGGCGCGGCGCCGCCUGGGCUGCAACGACCGGGGUGGCCGCGGCAGCAGGGGGCGCGCAGCACGCCGCGGCAGUACUAGCAGUCACGCGAGCUGUGUCCAGGGUAGAGACAACGGCGGCACCGGACGUCGUUGGUGCACUCCCGCACGGGGUGGCCGGGCUCGAGGCAGCGAAAGCACAGCCCGACGGACUCCUCUGGGGACAGGCUGCAACGUCGCUGCGGGCGGGGGGGGGGGGGGGUGCAGAAGCCGAGCGCCGCGCACCACGGCGGCGGUUCCUGUGGCGGGGGGUCUGGAAGCCAUCGGCGUCGAUUUCCACGCCGCCGUUGACCCGGUGGACCUCGCUGCGGGGACCGAGGCGAGUGGCUGCCGGGGCGCGUGCGUUGGGUGCGGCGGGGCCGCGCAUCGCCGGAGGUGGGGUGGCCGCCGGGGCCGAGCGCGGUGGGGUCCUGGCGACCUCGCUGUAGGACCGCGUCGAAGACCCGGCGUCGGACUCCAGCCAGCGCUGCGAACCGGCGGAGCUGAGGUCAAGGUCGCCGGAGCUGCCGCAGGGGGAUGCCAUGCGCGGAGGGGGGGAGGGGCUGGGGAGGAGGGCUACCGGCGGGGAUUCGUCGGCGGCAAGGUUUGCGGGGGCUGGGCUAGGAGCGCGUGGGAGCGGAGCGCCUCAUCUCCUCCAAAAAAAUGACCUUGUCCAGCCGACAAUCUUUGGUCUUGCCCAUACAUCGCCAUAGGAUUUAGGAUUGGGUUGUACAGUGGUAGAUAUGCAGGCAUUUCGUUUGUGAAAACCUCCAAAUGACCCUAUAAAAAAUGACGAGAUAAAUGUUGUAUAACUUCAGUUUUAUAACAGAUAAAGUGUGAAUUUAUUUAUACCGUUGAGGUGCCAUGAGGUUGUAGUGCUACAUGAUUAUCUACUUUCCUUUUCCUUGCUCCUUGAUUUUGCCCAUACCGUUGAGGUGCCAUGAUUUUGCUUUCUCUAAGCCACCAACAGGUCUACUUGCUCCUUGAAUAGUCUUCUCCUUCAACUUCACCCCUUUUGGCUUAGGAAGCCCCUCAUUUUGUUUUGAACUUGUAGAUGAGUUCAUGUUUGGGUCUGCAAAUAUAUAAGUAAAUCAAAUUCAAGUUUCAUAACAUUAUAAAACUACACACCCAUAUCAACGGGUCUACUUGAUCCUCCAACAGUCUUCUUUUUAAACUUGACACCUUUUGGACUGGCAAACUCCACAUUUUGUUCUGAACUUGUAGAUGAGUUAAUGUUUGGGUCUGCAACUAUACAAUGAAACAUAGGUUAGUUUGAUAAGAUCAUAAAGCUAUACUUACAGACUUUGUGAGCCAAGGGAGUUACCUAUAUCUGGAUGUCUGUUUGAUCCUCGAGCUGUCUUCUCCUUGACCUUCAUUCCUUUUGGCUUGGCGGGCCUCACAUUUAGUUCUGAACUUGUAGUAGCGACAUUGUAUGGGUCUGCAACUAUAAAAAUAAAUAUAUGUUUAAACCUGACGAGAGUAUAAAACUUAUAUGUAGAUACCUUCUGAACAAAGGAAGUUACCUAUAUCUGGAUCAGAUCUAUGUUUUAGACAUUUCUCCACAUCUUGUGCUAACUUCUCAGCAUAAUUAGCAACCAUGAAAUAUGAUUCGUCAGCCUCUGCGGCUCGAGCAGCUAUUUGGAUAAACAUUCUACACAAUUCCUUAUAGCGUUUCGUCAGUAUUGCUUUGCGGCCUUCAUGCAUGCUGCAGUUGCUUGUUAUAUCCAAAACUUUUGCAUCAAUUGUCCAUCUUUUCAUGAUAUACUGUUGAGGGAUGUGCUUGAUAUUAUUAAUAUCAAGUACCUUCAAGGAAUGAGAGCAAAGAAUUCCAGCAAAUUCAAACUUCUUGCAACUGCAAUUGACCCUUUCUUCUUUCGGAAAAAAUCUAACAACAUGAUCAUGCUCUGUACCAUGAAAUUUUACUUUGUAAACCUUCUCAUUGUCACUGUCAUCACAAAGGUAUGUGUCAUAGUUCAAGGUCCGAAGCACUUGUUCCUGAAACAUCUUGAAUAUUGGUGGAGUAUAUGUAGUUGAUGCUUGCCUUAAUAUAUAGCUUUCUGCCUUCAGCUUAGGACUACUUUGUGUUGCUUUGAAAUCACAUCUCACCUCUUCAAAUCUUUUAUCUGCAACUAGACGUUCAAAAUGCUCAAAAAAAGUAAGCAUGUCAUACUUAGAACUAAUGUAACGUUUUAGUUCGUUGUUCAUGCUUUCACUCCUUUGGGUACUGCUCAUGUGUGCGGAGAAAGUAUUCCUGCCAUACACUAGUGCCCAGUGCUCCCUUUUCUCAAAUAACCUUUGGAGCCAUGCAUUGUCCCGGAGUUCAUACUUGUCAAGCAUUUCAUUCCAUGCACUUAUAAAUUCAUCUUCGUCCUCAAUAUCAUAGAUACAAUGCUGAAAAUCGGCAUUGAACUUCUUGUAAUCUGUAACAACUCCACCAAGAUGUUUGCAAGCAUUUUGAUUCAUAUGCCACACACAAAGUCUAUGGUCAGAGUGAGGUAGGACUGAACGGAUCGCUUUAGCCAUUGCUGCAUCUUCGUCAGUCAGAAUUGUAUGUGGAUGUUUUCCGGACAUUACUGUUAGAAAAGUUCUAAAAAGCCAAGCAAAACUUUCCGCUGUUUCAUCAUAGAGUAGUGCAGCACCAAACACAAUUGUUUUCUUGUGAUUAUUCACACCAACAAUUAAGCCAAACGGACGCCCAUCGUCUAGUUUCCUGUAUGUGGUGUCAAAGCAUAUGACAUCACCAAAUAAUGCAUAGUCUGACACCAUUUUGGAGUCUGUCCAAAAUAUAUUAGUUAUCAAAUCAUCCUCAUCAACUUGAAUUGAAUAAAAAAAACUUGACAUCUUCUGAAACCUUCUUUACCAUAUAUUCUAACACUCCUCCCGUGUCACCCACCUUUGCUUUUAGUGUUCUCUUUGAGUACAAACGGUUUUUCAUGUCCGUGCUUAUAAAGCCAAGGUUUUCAGGUCCACAUGCUUCUUUCGUCAUUAGAUCAAUAGUUGCUUUAUUUGAAAUGCCCACUGACUUGGCGACCUCGGCAUUGGCUAGUUGAGCUUCAGUUACUUUUCUGUGUGAUCUUAAGUAUUGCGACAUGUUUCCAGUAGCAAGGCUAUGGUUAUGGGCUUCUUUAAAUUCGUAUACAUUAUAAAUCCCGUUUGUAAGACUUAUCUUCAUACGUGCAUCACAACCACAUCGUGUCUUGGGCCUACUAUAACUGAAUUCCUCCUCUCUUUUAUCUUCAGCAUGGACUCCUAUUAGUUAAAAUUAUUUUAUUAGUCCCAUCUAAAAAUCUAUAUGACUAGAACAAGUUACCACUAGUCCAUACCUUGACGAGAACAUGUGAAUGUCCGUUGUUGUAUUGUACUGGAAUUUUUUACUUUAUGAUGAUUGCCUCUUUGGAUGCUAAAACCCAAGGAAUAAGCAUACUUGUUAUAGAAGGAAUAUGCUUCUUCUUCAGAUAAAAACUACAUGCCAAUCUUUGGCACCCUUUUUUCAAUCUGCUCUGUUGCAUUGCUAGCUGUAGUUUCUUCAAACCCCUGUUUAAAUUAGUACUCACUUUAGCAAUUGGUUCAAAUACAAGGGAAAGGAGAAGAAACAUAUAUGUGUUGUAAAUCAGCAAUAACCUCGCUAUGACUAUUUAUUUCGAUGUCACAGUGGAACGGAAAGGAGUGGAAUCUAUGUUGUUUUCCCAUUGCGAACAAGGUGGUUAAUAAUUUCAAUCUUCUGAGUACGCAUUAUCAACUAAUCAGAGGAUUGGGAGAAAACAGUUGGGUCAGAGAAAAAGGAAGAACGCAAUGGAAACAAGAUGGCUUACAUUUGGGGGAUCUGAUUCCUCAUUGGUUCCGGCAAGAAUUGGUGAAGAAGCCAUCAAGCUCCUCCAGCAAGUCCCUUUGUUGGAUCUGUGUUCGUAGAUAGAUUUGAUGAAGAAGCGUAUAGUUUGGUUUGUUUCGUACUCUUGUACGGGAAAAGUUCACCGCCAAUGCUUUUGGCGGGCAAGCCAUAUAUAUUUCCCUCCAAAUCUCUGUUCUGUUACGUUAA